GACGAACGCUGGCGGCGUGCUUAACACAUGCAAGUCGAACGCUGAAGCCUGGCUUUUGUUGGGUGGAUGAGUGGCGAACGGGUGAGUAACACGUGAGUAACCUGCCCUCUUCUUUGGGAUAACGCCCGGAAACGGGUGCUAAUACUGGAUAUUCACUUGCCUUCGCAUGGGGGUGGGUGGAAAGGGUUUUUUUCUGGUGGGGGAUGGGCUCGCGGCCUAUCAGCUUGUUGGUGGGGUGAUGGCUUACCAAGGCUUUGACGGGUAGCCGGCCUGAGAGGGUGACCGGUCACAUUGGGACUGAGAUACGGCCCAGACUCCUACGGGAGGCAGCAGUGGGGAAUAUUGCACAAUGGGCGCAAGCCUGAUGCAGCGACGCCGCGUGAGGGAUGGAGGCCUUCGGGUUGUGAACCUCUUUCGCUCAUGGUCAAGCCGCAACUCAUGGUUGUGGUGAGGGUAGUGGGUAAAGAAGCGCCGGCUAACUACGUGCCAGCAGCCGCGGUAAUACGUAGGGCGCGAGCGUUGUCCGGAAUUAUUGGGCGUAAAGGGCUUGUAGGCGGUUGGUCGCGUCUGCCGUGAAAUCCUCUGGCUUAACUGGGGGCGUGCGGUGGGUACGGGCUGACUUGAGUGCGGUAGGGGAGACUGGAACUCCUGGUGUAGCGGUGGAAUGCGCAGAUAUCAGGAAGAACACCGGUGGCGAAGGCGGGUCUCUGGGCCGUUACUGACGCUGAGGAGCGAAAGCGUGGGGA
rnacentral:rRNA from 1 species